rnacentral:rRNA from 1 species
GAUUAACGCUGGCGGCGUGCAUAACACAUGCAAGUCGAACGAUGAAACUCAUUAGAUUUCUUCGGAAUGAAAAUGAAUGGAUUAGUGGCGAACGGGUGAGUAACGCGUGAGUAACCUGCCUUACACAAGGGGAUAGCCUCUGGAAACGGAGAAUAAUACCCUAUGAAACCAGACAAUCGCAUGAUAAUCUGGUCAAAAUGUUUAGUGGUGUAAGAUGGACUUGCGUCUGAUUAGCUAGUUGGUGAGAUAAAAGCUCACCAAGGCAACGAUCAGUAGCCGGCUUGAGAGAGUGUACGGCCACAUUGGGACUGAGACACGGCCCAGACUCCUACGGGAGGCAGCAGUGGGGAAUUUUGCACAAUGGGGGAAACCCUGAUGCAGCGACGCCGCGUGAUUUAGAAGGCCUUCGGGUUGUAAAAAUCUUUUGUAUAGGAAGAAAAUGACAGUACUAUACGAAUAAGGUCCAGCUAAUUACGUG